AACGAACGCUGGCGGCAUGCCUAACACAUGCAAGUCGAACGAGACCGUCGUGUCUAGUUGCGCACGGGUGCGUAACGCGUGGGAACCUGCCCUUAGGUUCGGAAUACUUCCCUUAAGGGGGUGCUAAUACCGGAUAACGUCUUCUGACCAAAGAUUUAUCGCCUUUGGAUGGGCCCGCGUUGGUUUAGCGAGUUGGUAGUGUAAAAGCCUACCAAGGAGAGGAUCCAUAGCUGGUCUGAGAGGAUGAUCAGCCACACUGGAGCUGAGACACGGACGAGACUCUUAGGCGAGGGAGGAGUGGGGAAUAUUGGACGAGGGGGGAAAGGCUGAUCCAGCAAUGCCGGGUGAGUGAUGAUGGCCUUAGGGUAGUAAAGCUGUUUUACCCGGGGUGAUAAUGACGGUACCGGGAGAAUAAGCACCGGCUAACUCCGUG
rnacentral:rRNA from 1 species